UGCUUAACACAUGCAAGUCGAACGCGAAAGUACUUCGGUACGAGUAGAGUGGCGGACGGGUGCGUAAUACAUAGGAAUCUGCCCAACAGUGGGGAAUAGCCUAGGGAAACUUAGGAUAAUACCGCAUACGCCCUACGGGGGAAAGGCUUCGGCCGCUGAUGGAUGAGCCUAUGUCCGAUUAGCUAGUUGGUAGGGUAAAGGCCUACCAAGGCGACGAUCGGUAGCUGGUCUGAGAGGACGGCCAGCCACACUGGGACUGAGACACGGCCCAGACUCCUACGGGAGGCAGCAGUGGGGAAUAUUGGACAAUGGGCGAAAGCCUGAUCCAGCAAUGCCGCGUGUGUGAAGAAGGCCUGCGGGUUGUAAAGCAC
rnacentral:rRNA from 1 species